UACAGAGGGUGCAAGCGUUGUUCGGAAUUACUGGGCGUAAAGUACGCGCGCAGGCGGGUACUGUAAAGUCGGAAGUUGAAAUUGCACUGCUCACGGUGUAGCUGCUUCUGAUACUGCAGAUCUUGAGACCGGUAGAGGUUGGUGGAAUUGCAGGUGUAGCGGUGGAAUGCGUAGAGAUCUGGCAAGAACACCCGUAGGCGGAAGGCGGCCAACCUGGGCCGGUUCUGACGCUGAGGCG
rnacentral:rRNA from 1 species